UAAUAACACUACAGGAAACAG
rnacentral:misc_RNA from 1 species